ensembl:misc_RNA Metazoa_SRP Metazoan signal recognition particle RNA
GCUAGGAAUGGUGGCAUGUGUCUGUAAUCCCAGCUACUUGGGAGGCUGAGACAGGAGGAUUGCUCGAGCCCGGGAGAUCGAGGCUGCAGUGAGCCAAGAUGGUACCACUGCACUCCAGCCUGGGCAACAGAGUGAGACCCUGUCUCAA